UACAGAGGUCUCGAGCGUUGUUCGGAUUCAUUGGGCGUAAAGGGUGCGUAGGCGGCGGGGUAAGUCUGAUGUGAAAUCCCGGGGCUCAACCCUGGAACUGCAUUGGAUACUGCCUUGCUAGAGAGCUGGAGAGGAAACUGGAAUUUACGGUGUAGCAGUGAAAUGCGUAGAGAUCAGCAGGAACACCCGUGGCGAAGGCGGCCCCCUGGGCCGUACCUGACGCUGAGGCGCGAAGGCUAGGGGAGCGAACGGG
rnacentral:rRNA from 1 species